CUACUGUCUGUCCUUUGAAGAAGGCAUUUGAGUUCUCUGAACAGGGACGUCUCUCAGUGUGCCUGGCACUUGCGGGGACUAUGUCCCCAGAAAUCCACUUUGCUGCUGAUCUCCCAUGAUGGGCAGAGAAGAGGAACCUGGCCCCUCCAGCAGGGACUGCUCUCCCAAGCCCUCUCUCAGGGAGAGGAGGGCUGAUGAUUCCAGCUCAGCCAAACCUCUCCUCUCCUGCCAUCUUUCUCCCAACCAACAAAAGGACACCUGUGACAUGGCUUGCCCUUGAAGGCUUCAGGUGUAGCUGGGAAGGGCCAGACAGCCCAGAGGAACGAGAGUCAAAAGGGACUCAGCCAGCAGUGUUGUGCUGGGCCACGCACCAAGAAGCAAUGUGAACAAUGAGGCCGGGAGAGCCCAUGAAGAGGGGAUUUGAAUGGGCUUUGUGAAAUGUGUUGGAGGAGGUCACGGAGGGCGUUCCCAGGCAAAGGGACCUUUGUGAGCAAAGGGCAUGGAGAGAAGAAUGCGUCAGAUGCAGCAGCAAGGGCAGGAAGAGGCCUGUCUGAUAAGAGAAGAGAUACGGAGAUAAGGCUCCCAGCGUGAAAGGAGCCCUUGAGCACCAGACAGAGAAGCUGGAGAGGGCAGGUCCAGGGAGAGGGCUGGAUUCCUAUCCCUUUCUCCUUUCAUCAUGCUAUUUGUCCUUGAUAUUGGUGGCAAUAGCAAUAAUAACCACCUUUACAGAGCUGCCAGGUGAUGGUCCCAUGCAUACAAAUAAGGUACACCCCACGUACGGUCUCUUAAAACUACUCGAGGGUCAGAAUGAGCACGUACACAGGAAUGGAAGGUCUCACCCUCAAGGCCAAAGGCCUG
rnacentral:lncRNA from 1 species